AGGUGCAGGAUGUGGAUGCAAUUAACUGAUGUGAUGUGGUGAACAGUUGCCAUGUUGUUCUCCCACAGCUAAACCUUGUCUUUCCAUUAUGCUGGUGAGCUAGAGCACUUUGAGACUGCAGCUUGUCAACCUUCCACAUAUCCAGAUACCUCCAGGUGCAGGAAUCACCAUGGCAGUGGCUUCUGCCUUCCUCUGGUGCACCUGCAUGCAGUGAGGGAAUUGAUUUGGCUUCGCUGCAGCUCUGCCACUUCCCACCAGUCCAGGCUCCCGGACCUCUGGUGACAGAAGAGCCUGAGAUUGCUGCCAGUUAAUGCAGAGAUUGCUGUGGGGAAAUAUUUCCAGAGUCACACCUCACUGUGCAAAGCGCAA
rnacentral:lncRNA from 1 species